CUAGCAGCCUUCAGAUGAAAAUAGAACUCUCAGCUCCUCCUGCACCAUGUCUGCCUGGAUGCUGCCAUGCUCCUGCCUUGAUGAUAAUGGACUGAACCUCUGAGCCGGUAAGCCAGCCCCAAUUAAAUGUUGUCCUUAUAAGAGUUGCCUUGGUCAUGGUGUCUGUUCACAGCAGUAAAACCCUAAUUAAGACAAGCCCCUUAUACAUACACCCUCAUACAUGUAACUUCAUACACAUACAUACAUACAUACUCCUACAAUACUCAUAUGCACACACAUAUAUGUACACCUUCACACACACACACACACACGCACACACGCACAUUCACACAUAUAUACCCAUACACACAGACGUACCCUCAUGUACAUGCCCUCAUACAGAACACACACACACUCCUAUGCACACACACACACACACGCACACACACACAUUCACACAUAUAUACCCAUACACACAGAUGUACCCUCAUGCACAUGCCCUCAUACAGAACACACACACACUCCUAUGCACACACACACACACACACACACUCACAUACCCUCUCACACACGCAUAAUUAAGAAUAAUAAAAACAAAUAUACAUUUAAAGUUGGAGAACACAAACUAUGAAUAGGGCCCAGCUAUUUGAAUUCCAGCUCCAUUGAGCGGGAACCCUCAGCUCAGCUUCUCUUUGUGCAAUACUAGGAUGUCAGUAUCUACUUUAGCGAUGCUUCUCUUGUUCGGAAGAUGAAACCGUACCAUGAUUGCACAACACUUAGGGUAAGUAUGGAGUCUGGGGCAAGCAAGGCUAGCAUAACUAGUUGGUGUGCUAUUUUCUGAGGUUGUGUAAGUUUCCAAAGGUCUUACUAAAAGUGCUGGAGGCCCCUCGACAUGCGCAUCAUUCUAACAUCCUGAGGUCUGGAGCCGGAGGACGGACUACACAGCUUUCUGGCUCAAUAACUUCAUCUUCUGUUCGAGGAGACUGAGACAGAAAGAGGCUGAGGGGAUGGGCCAGCUAAUUACGGUAAGAAGUUUGGAUUAGAACUCAGCCUGCUAACGGUUCCCCUGAUUCUUAAAAAGUUGCAUGGCUUCAACAACAAGGAACAGAGUGUGAAUAUCUGUGGGUGGUGUUCAGGGUUCUGGUCAAAUGGUGUUUAUUAUAGAGUCAGCCAUAUAUCUGAGUGCCUCUGUGCUCUCUGUGCUGCAUAGUGAGGAGGUGUGCGCUACUGUAAACGGUUCGGAGGUACAAGUGAUUAUUUUUUAGGACAAACCCAAGAAAGGGAACAAAAGAACGGAGGAGAGCAGAAAAUGUCUCUGGAGACCUGUUUGAAGGCUCUUGAAGCUGCCAUGUAGUAUACGUGUGCAUGUGUGAGUCUGUGUGUGUGUGUGUGUGUGUGUGUGCACGCGCAUGUGCACAUAGUGGGGAGCUGUGUUUUUCUGCAAAAAUUAAAAGGCUGAGAAGUGGUUCUCAUGGGGAAAAGUAGUUACUACUCACCUCCUCCCCUUCAGAAGGACGACUCAGGUAGUGUUCUCUUUCUGCAUCAGAUUCUUGCCUGGACCAAGCAGUUUCAGCAGCUAGAAUCCAGUUCUCAGCAGAUGAUGCCAGAGGCAACGCCCAGAACUGCACGAGAGCUUCAUAUUUAGCAGAACUGACCUCUCUUUUCCACUGUCACUGUGUUCUGAUUUCUAAUACUUCCUGGUUGUGUCCUGGUACAGGGAGGGCAGAGAACAGCUGGUCCACAGUCUCCCUCCUCACUCUAGGCAAGGGCAGAGAUGGACUACAGAAUUGCUCCUUUUGUCUUUGGAGAAAAUCUUAGGUUUCUGGCUCUUCUGUUUUUUUUUUUUAUUUGUUUGUUUUGUUUUGUUUUGUUUUUCUCUAGCAGGAGAAACUAAAAGCUCUAUCUAUCUAUCUAUCUAUCUAUCUAUCUAUCUAUCUAUCUAUCUAUCUAUCUAUCCAUCUAUCCAUCCACCCACCCACCCACCCACCCACCCACCCACCCACCUACCUACCUACCUACCUACCUACCUACCUACCUACCUACCUACCUACCUACCUACCUACUUACUGAGGCUUCUUCAGGAGCUGUUCAAAUGUGUGCUGGAAGGAGAUGCUGGCCCAGGGGUAUUUUUCCGUAACCCACAGUUCUUACUGGAUCCCAGCAGUAGAAAACCUUUCAUUUAUAAAUUGGUAUAGCUCAGUUUAGUCAGAUUGCGUUUCUAAUACUGAAGCUGAAGGAAAGGGACUUCUGAUGAAGAAGGGUAGAGAGGAAGGAACAAGAAGUAUAAAGAGGUGCGCUAUGGGUGGUGGGGAUUCUGGAGGUCACUGCUGCAGAACUUGGGUCUACCAGAUAGGAGGAGAGAGAAAAUGUACUACAAAGAGAUGAGGUUAAAACACAAGAGAAGGUAAGUUGUUUAUCCUCCCUGCCCAACAUCCUGUCCUCCUUCCCUUUCCUCUCCCCCUCCCCUCCUCGCCCCUUCCCGGUCUCUCUUGAGAUGACCUGGUCUAAUGUGUUCCAGGCUGGCCUCGAAUUCACUUUGUGGCUGACAAUGACUUUGAACUUCUGAUCCUUUUACCUGUCCCCCAAGAGUUUGGAUUAGAGACACGUGCUGAGUUCAUGUGGUGCUGAGAAUUGAACCUACAGCUUUGAGCGCAGUAGGCAAGCAUUCUAUCAAAUGAGCUCCUUCCUCAGUCCUAACAGGAGAUAGGGGACCAGCAGACUGCCAAAGGGGCGCGUGGCACAGAACGAGUUAUGAACCUCCCAUGAGCUGAUAGAUAGAUAUGUGCGCUGAGAAAAUGCUGGACAAUACAGUGGGCUAUCCAGAGCAUCCUGGGAGAGGCUUCAGCACAGAUGUUUCAUCUUCAAUCGAGCUGCUCCGGACACCAAGAACACCAAGAAACGCGGUCAGUUUAUAGCCAGGGAUCUGAGCAGAUCCAGGGGCCACAAAGGAUGGGCCUUCUCUCCGUGUUGUGUCAGAUGUUGAGCCUCGGUGGGCCCAGGUGGGUUGUCAUGCUUCUUGCGGGCCGCAGGCAAGAAACGCCCCAUGUGACUUUUGCACAAGGCUAAAAACUUCUGUACUCAGUUUGAGAGGGCAUGUGUCAUAAGCGACACACAGACUAAAGUCAAGCUUUAGCCUUCAAAAUUUAAUGUGGAUCCGAC